CGCAGACGUCCACGCAAGACUUGACGACGCCGUUAGCGUUCUUCACUGCACUGAACCCGGGGUAGCAGUCGCACUGGUAGUCGUUCGGGUCGUCUGGACGCGGCGAACAGGUCCCGUUCGCGCAAGGAGCACUUGCACAAGGAUCCCCUUUGCAGGUCAGGCCGUUGCCCUCGCUAGGUGCCGGGCACUGGCAGUACACGCCGCCGUUCUCCGAGCUGUCCAGCUUGCAGAGCGAGCGCGUCGAGCACUUGCCGCAGAAAUGCGCUAAAUCGCAUUUUCCGAAGCUGUAGUUAUCUUUGUACGACCUGCAGUCCGAGCUUCCCUUCGGCUUGCACACGUCGCCAAACUCGAAGCUCGGCGACAAAGCUGUGCGCGAGCAACAGUCGCCCUCUCGGCAGACGCCGUGCUUCUCGCCCGUCGCUGUGUUGGCGUAGACGUCGGCGCAGCGCUGAUUCGUUUCGGAGAUGCGACAGACCCAAGUCGACUGCGGAGGCAAAGAAAUGGCGCCGGACACGCUGUCGAACCCUGUCACGAGCAGCAACACAGCGCCCGCUGCCACCACGUACUGCAGGCAGCGAAGCGUUCGCAGAGUGCAGAAGGCGAGUGGCGAGGGCCGCGUCGCGUUUGGCGCUCUUGCAGACGCGAUGCAGGAGGCUUCGCGGGCACUCUCAGGUCUGCGAACUUUUUCGCAGCAAAAAACAAAGACCGCGGCGUGGCCUGGACCCCCAGUCGAUGAUUUCAUGGUUGUCACGGCCGAAAGAGGGUUGCGGGAAACGCAGGUUUGAGUCACUUGAGCGUCAGAUCCCUUCAGAUCUUCUCCCUGAAAGAAACGAGAAGUGUGGUUCUCCGCUUUGUAUCUGGGCAAUGCGGCGGCAGGGAGAAACGAGGUGAUUCAGAACAACGGACUCGCUAGGGUGUGGUGGGUCAGCAACUGAGAGGCGUGGCACGAAGAAACACACGGGUAGUCGAAAGAAACCAGGCAGUUGCCUCUCAUUUGGACGCGGGCAUGCGCGCUUGAAGGCACACAGACAGUUUCCCGGUGAUGCAGACUCAACGUGGAGAGGAACGGGAGGAAAAGGUGAAAACCAGUUGGCGUGCACGCAAAAAGUCAGAGGCCGCGAGCCAGGGAAAAAGAACGAGGAGUCACUAUUUCCUCCGCCUCCUUUUCACCGAGGUCGAUUCCCUUCCCGAAGAGCGGCCACACACUCCAUUCUAAGCCCCUCAAAACCCUCUCUCGAAAAGGAUUUGAAGAACAGGGUAACUUUUGCGGCCGUCCGCUGACAAGAAGAAGUCCCUUGAAGGCCAACUAGCUAGUCCGGGCACGACCGAACUGGAGACUCCACUGCUGCCCCUUAACACGGGUUGCUGGAAACACAGUGGACAGAAUCUUCUCUUGUGUGCAUGGAAGGGCGGUUUUUGCGUCGUCUCGAACUCCACCUCGGGAGAAAGAGCCGUCCCGUCGAGUGCCGUCGAAGGACCUUUACGACCGUUCCGAAGCAGCCACACACCAGUGACCGACUCUCGUGCACAAUCCACCACCGGCCGGGGCGGUGCCUGGGUCCUCCCGUUCCGGACUCUCCCCAGAAAACGGUUCAUUUUUCUAAACUGGGUGCGGAAUCCCCUCGAAACACAAACCUCCUUGUCAAUAUGAUUCACCCAGUUCGUUUGCAGAACGAGUAGCGGGAGAAGCAAGCGCUGGAAACUCAUUCGCUCCGGGACACACAAAAAAGUUGACACGAGCUUGCACACGACUACGGCUCAACCCUGAUCGAAUCGACGGGCACGCGCAGGCGACCCGCAAACAUGCCACAGAAAUUCUUUCCUUCCAUUGGUUUGGCAAAAACCAGUAACAACGUCACGUUUUUUUCGUCGAGAGGCAGGACAUCCUCCAGGGCAUGGCUUUUCAAGGCACAGAAGGCGAGUUUCCUUGCUGAUGCUGUGUUCGACGACGG
rnacentral:lncRNA from 1 species